UCGGAAGCUAAGCAGGGCCGGGCCUGGUUAGUACUUGGAUGGGAGACCGCCUGGGAAUACCAGGUGCUGUAAGCUU
rnacentral:rRNA from 1 species